AAAGCAGACGAAAUGUGGCGUGUACUGCCAUCAUUGCGAAAACUGACACGGCAAAUUUUAUGGGGAUUCUGGGUUUAAUCCGGAAAUCACAAUUUUAAUAACAAAACAGAGCUCAGUGUUAUUUUCGUUGAAAGAUGAAUCCUAUUCUUGAACCGUUGACAUUCCCUGAGAAGCAAGAUGAAGAGGAGUUGGUUACCUCAGCUCAAUGUGAAUGUCUUUUUUGCUCAGAAAUGUUCGACUUGCAAUCGUCAAAUGAUCAAAUUUUGGCUCAUUUUCUAUUGGCUCAUAAACUAGUGGUAGCUGAUGUUAAAGAAAUUGUUGAUCUUAAAAGGUACAUGGAUUACUGGAGACCAAAGUUUAGAGAGUCAGAUCCCAAAUCAUAUUGCUUUGUUAUGGAAGCAGAGAAUGAAAAUGGUGCAAAAGAAGAAUAUUUCAUGUUAGCCCAUGAACUUCCAGAAGACCAAAAUUUGAGGGAAAAACUUCAAAGAGAAAAAUUGAAUCUAGUUUUGAAACAGCAGCAGAAAGAAAGAAAAGAUGAAGAGUUUUCUCAUUGCUGCCUUUUCUGUAGGAAAAUUUUUACAGGGAACCGGAAAGUCUUGUUUGAUCACAUGAACUUUGAUCACAACUUUAGUGUUGGGCUUCCUGACAAUGUUGUGUUUGUAGAAGAGUUUCUCAAUUUACUGGAUCAGAAACUAUCACAAAACAUCUGCCUAUACUGUGAGAAGACAUUCAAAGAUAGAACUGUGUUAAAAGAGCACAUGCGAAAAAAGAUUCAUAAAAAAAUUAAUCCUAUGAACAAAGAGUAUGACAAGUUUUACCUUGUCAAUUAUCUGGAACCUGGUAAAAGUUGGAAAGAUAUAAUGGAAGAAUUUGAUGAAUAUUGCCAAAAUGAAGACUGGUCUGAUUGGUUUGAACCAGAAGCAGAAGCUAUGUGUUUGUUUUGUCAUUUCCAAUCCAGUGCACCAGAAGUUCUUUCCCAGCACAUAACAUCACACAAUUUUGAUUUCCUGGGUCUGAAGAAGAAUUUCAGCAUCUACCAGCAAAUAAAAAUUGUCAAUUAUGUUAGAAGGCAAGUUCAUGAGAAAAAGUGUAUCCUUUGUGAUGAACAGUGUAGUUCCAGAGAAGAUCUCAAUGUCCACAUGCAGAAUUUGAGCCAUUUUAAACUACCUGAACGUUCAAUAUGGGACCAGUCACAGUACGUACUACUUUCCAACUUAUGAAAAUGACGCUUUACUUUGUUUGCUGGAAGACACCGUACAAGACGAUUCCAUCGACGCCGAUCAAGUAAAGGUUAUUCCUGAAGAAACUGUAAUCAAUCUUAAACUUGUGGAAGAAGAACUUUUAAAACUUGAACUUAUUGUAAAAAAAUGAAUGGUUCUAGAAAACUGUAAAAAAAAAAAAAUUGUAUUUGAAGUGAUCAUGAUGGUGCAAUGCAAAGUUUAAUGAUGGAUCUGAGCUAAUGGUUCUGCUCGUAUUUCUGAUAAAUUGAGUCUGGAGUCUAAUUCAUUAUCAAUCUCCCCAAUAAGGACUCUAAAACAGAAGGAACACAUGUUAGGGACAACAUUAUUUUCCAGCAAAAUUCGUGAAAUAUAACAUACACAUUGUCUCCUCUGAUGAUGUGUAGGCCUAGCUGGACUUGCUCAACUCCUUGACUAGAGCUAAACACUCGCUCAUGGCUGUCAUCAAUAAUCAGGUUAAUGGUUUGAUCAAAUCCUUUAAGAAUACC